rnacentral:rRNA from 1 species
CGGCGUGCCUAACACAUGCAAGUCGUACGAGAAAGCCGGCUUCGGCUGGUGAGUAAAGUGGCGCACGGGUGAGUAACGCGUGGAUAAUCUGCCCUUAAGUGUGGAAUAACGUACCGAAAGGUGCGCUAAUACCGCAUAAUGCCUGGCAACACAAGUUGUCCGGCCAAAGAAGGCCUCUGUUUACAAGCUUUCGCUUCAGGAUGAGUCCGCGUACCAUUAGCUUGUUGGUGGGGUAAUGGCCUACCAAGGCUGCGAUGGUUAGCUGGUCUGAGAGGAUGAUCAGCCACACUGGAACUGAGAUACGGCCCAGACUCCUACGGGAGGCAGCAGUCGAGAAUAGUCUACAAUGGCCGGAAGGCUGAUAGUGCGACGCCGCGUGAACGAGGGAGCCCUUCGGGGUGUAAAGUUCUUUUCUAUACGAGCAGUGCUAUAUAUAUGGAUAGUAUAUAUAGAGGGAUAGUAGUAUAGGAAUAAGCAACGGCUAACUCCGUG